GAUGAAGAACGUAGCGAAAUGCGAUAAGUAAUGUGAAUUGCAGAAUUCAGUGAAUCAUCGAAUCUUUGAACGCACAUUGCGCCCGCCAGUAUUCUGGCGGGCAUGCCUGUUCGAGCGUCAUUUCAACCAUCAAGCCCCCGGCUUGUGUUGGGGACCUGCGGCUGCCGCAGGCCCUGAAAACCAGUGGCGGGCUCGCUAGUCACUCCGAGCGUAGUAAUACAUCUCGCUCAGGGCGUGCUGUGGGUUCCGGCCGUUAAAAGCCUUAUUUUACCCAAGGUUGACCUCGGAUCAGGUAGGAAGACCCGCUGAACUUAAGCAUAUCAAUAAGCGGAGGA
rnacentral:misc_RNA from 1 species